rfam:Saccharomonospora viridis DSM 43017, complete genome.
GGGGGUGAACGGUUUCGACUCUGGACGUUGAUCCAGGGGAAGCGUGCCGGUGCAGGCAACGACCACCGCAAGCGUCGUUCGCAUUAAAUAUAAGCGCCAAGACGAAUAGUCAGCGCGACUUCGCCCUCGCCGCCUGAGCGAGCGCGGAGUCUGUCGGCCCGGGAGCGCCUCCGUCCCGGUUCGCCGGCAUCAGCUAGGAGGCUCACCGCCGGUUCCGGCCACGGGAACCGGUUGGGAAACAAACAGUGGCUGGGCCCGUCACACCGGCUUGUUCGCGUGACCGGUGGGGCCGAGUAGAGGCACAGCGAACUGCGCACGGAGAAGCCCUGGAAAGGCGACAGAGGACCCGGGUUCGAUUCCCGGCACCUCCACGG